UACGGGGGGGGUAAGCGUUGUUCGGAAUUACUGGGCGUAAAGGGCUCGUAGGCGGCCAACUAAGUCGGACGUGAAAUCCCUCAGCUUAACUGGGGAGCUGCGUCUGAUACUGGAUGGCUUGGAUUUGGGAGAGGGAUGCGGAAUUCCAGGUGUAGCGGUGAAAUGCGUAGAUAUCUGGAGGAACACCGGUGGCGAAGGCGGCAUCCUGGACCAACAUUGACGCUGAGGAGCGAAAGCCAGGGGAGCAAACGGG
rnacentral:rRNA from 1 species